GCCCCCGUAGUUCAACGGACAGAACAAGGGACUCCUAAGCCCUAGAUGGAGGUUCGACUCCCCCCGGGGGCA
rnacentral:tRNA from 1 species